GAUGAAGAACGUAGCGAAAUGCGAUAAGUAAUGCGAAUUGCAGAAUUUCCGUGAGUCAUCGAAUCUUUGAACGCACAUUGCGCCCGCUAGUAUUCUGGCGGGCAUGCCUGUUCGAGCGUCAUUUCAACCAUCAAGCCCUGUUUAGGCUUGUGUUGGGGCCCUGCGGCUGCCGCAGCCCCCUAAAUGCAGUGGCGGGCUCGUUGUCACUCCGAGCGCAGUAGCGUAUCUCGCUCUGGGCGUGGCGGCGGGUGCUAGCCGUGAAACACCCACUAAGGUUGACCUCGGAUCAGGUAGGAAUACCCGCUGAACUUAAGCAUAUCAAUAAGCGGAGGA
rnacentral:misc_RNA from 1 species